CCUACGGGUGGCAGCAGUGGGGAAUAUUGGACAAUGGGGGCAACCCUGAUCCAGCCAUGCCGCGUGUGUGAAGAAGGCCCUCGGGUUGUAAAGCACUUUCAGUGAGGAAGAACGCCUGGUGGUUAAUACCCAUCAGGAAUGACAUCACUCACAGAAGAAGCACCGGCUAACUCCGUGCCAGCAGCCGCGGUAAUACGGAGGGUGCGAGCGUUAAUCGGAAUUACUGGGCGUAAAGCGCGCGUAGGUGGCUUGAUAAGCCGGUUGUGAAAGCCCCGGGCUCAACCUGGGAACGGCAUCCGGAACUGUCAAGCUAGAGUGCAGGAGAGGAAGGUAGAAUUCCCGGUGUAGCGGUGAAAUGCGUAGAGAUCGGGAGGAAUACCAGUGGCGAAGGCGGCCUUCUGGACUGACACUGACACUGAGGUGCGAAAGCGUGGGUAGCAAACAGGAUUAGAUACCCGAGUAGUC
rnacentral:rRNA from 1 species